AAAUUGGACUUAAAGUGUUGCGACACACACUAAAAAUACUAUGAAUGUUAGCAUUAAAGACUUGUUGAGCUGCUGUCAAAGUGUAAUGGUAGACAGACAAAUGAUUAUGUGACCACUAACCCUCAACCCAGCGAGGAGCCAGAUCUCCUGGUUCUGCUUGUGUGUGUCCCUGUGGUGGUGGUUGUGCUGCUGGCUAUUGUUCUGCUGCUCAUUUACAGAAACAGGACUAAGCACUCUGAUGGU